GAUGAACGCUGGCGGCGUGCCUAAUACAUGCAAGUCGAGCGAACAGACGAGGAGCUUGCUCCUUUGACGUUAGCGGCGGACGGGUGAGUAACACGUAGGUAACCUACCUAUAAGACUGGGAUAACUUCGGGAAACCGGAGCUAAUACCGGAUAAUAUUUCGAACCGCAUGGUUCGAUAGUGAAAGAUGGCUUUGCUAUCACUUAUAGAUGGACCUGCGCCGUAUUAGCUAGUUGGUAAGGUAACGGCUUACCAAGGCAACGAUACGUAGCCGACCUGAGAGGGUGAUCGGCCACACUGGAACUGAGACACGGUCCAGAACCCUAAGGGGGGGAGCAGUAGGGAAUCUUCCGCAAUGGGCGAAAGCCUGACGGAGCAACGCCGCGUGAGUGAUGAAGGUCUUCGGAUCGUAAAACUCUGUUAUUAGGGAAGAACAAACGUGUAAGUAACUGUGCACGUCUUGACGGUACCUAAUCAGAAAGCCACGGCUAACUACGUG
rnacentral:rRNA from 1 species